GAUGAACGCUAGCUACAGGCUUAACACAUGCAAGUCGAGGGACCGGCGCCCGGGUGAGUAACACGUAUCCAACCUGCCCUUUACUCGGGGAUAGCCUUUCGAAAGUAAGAUUAAUACCCGAUAUAAAGGAUGGGGAUGCGUUCCAUUAGGUUGUUGGGGAGGUAACGGCUCACCAAGCCUUCGAUGGUUAGGGGUUCUGAGAGGAAGGGCCCCCACAAUGGAGCUGAGCCACGGUCCAAACUCCUACGGAAGGCCGCGGUGAGGAAUAUUGUUGAAUGGGCGCUAGCCUGAACCAGCCGAGUAGCGUGAAGGGUGAAGGGUUUUGGGUCGUAAACUUCUUUUAUGUACGAAUAUGUAUUAUAUGAAUAAGGAUCGGCUAACUCCGUGCCAGCAGCCGCGGUAAUAC
rnacentral:rRNA from 1 species